CAAAGACAGACCAUCUGAGCCCAGAGCAGAGCUGCUGGAUGCCAUGAGCGUAGCCCUCAGCUUCCUGGUGUUCCCUUAGCCACGUCCUCGUUACCAGGCCAAACGUGACAGGUACUGUGACACACCAACGACACAAAACAACUUACUAACGUAAUCUGCUGCUCAUAGUUUAUUUUCCACCAACCAGUGAUCAGCUGUGAGUGAUGUGGCUGUGACCUAUAGCUGGUGCUUGGCGAUUACAAACACCCACCAGCUGGUGGAGCAGGCGCCUCCCUGCCAGGAUGAUGCUUCAGGAACUUUCUGGGCACAAAGUGCUUCUUGGUGGACAAUUUUUAAAAACACACAGAGCCACGUGGGUCACCUAUUGUCACCAAGAGAAAAAAGAACCUCAAAAUCAGUGACGCGACAGGAAGAAUUCGGACCUGUUCUUUCUGAGGAAGUUCUUAUUUUUCCUGUAACUGUAUGACGGCAUCACACCUUCCUCCUGAACGUGGGGGCCAUAGUCACUGACUCCGCCAGCCUCCCACCAGUGUGCUGGUGUAGGAGGAGCUGCAGACGUCCUCAAGCAGAAGUCACUUCUGCGUCCUCAGUGGUAACUCCUGUCCCUGCUCAAGUCCUCCGCCCUCCCCCGCAGCUGUCUUUUCCCUUCGAAAAGCAGGAUGCUUGCCGCCAUGGCCGAGUUGAGGCUGUCCACACCAGGCACAACGGGGAUCAGCAGCCUCUUGCCACCAGUGCUCUCGGCCAGCUGCAGGGACUCCAGGCUCACGCCGUAGGUCUCCCCGCCAAUCACCACAGCUGCCGGCGCCUCUGUCCAGUCCGAGUCGUAACUCUGAACCUCAACAUGAGGCAGCCAAUCUUGACUGGCUCCGGUUUCUACAUCUUCCUCUUCCUCAUACUUGUGAAACUUCAUCACUCGUUGAUCACACACCCAGCCAUGGUCACUAGCUUUAUUAGACAUCUCAGCCUGGGCAUAAAGGCCACAGUUGUCAGCCACAUAGACCCGAGUGUCAGGGGGCAGGUAAUUGGGCACGGUUUCCCAUUCCAGAUUAUUGAUAAUGGGCAUCCGGAAAUGUGCGCCCAUACCCGCCCGGAGCACUUUGGGCUCCCAGGCAUCCACACAGCCUGGAAAAUAAAAAGGAAACAAUCAAGAUGUUACAAAUCUUCCCAGACCAGGGGACUGUGGAGUAAGUCUGAUCAAUUUUGGAUCAGGAGAUAAACCAGUUCUUCUAUGAUAGCUUUCUUGAGGGAUGGGACCUUCUGCCUCUCUCUGACAGCAUCCAGCACAGCGACUAUAGGAGUCACUCCUGCUAGUGCUGAAGAUAUUUUAUGCAUCCCUUCAACAUCUCCCAUUCACACGUGCCAGACACUGCGCAGAAGAUGCAAAGAUAAUGAAAGUCCCCAACCCCAAGGAACGCACAGUGUAGUGGGGUGGUAUUAAACAGAUGGCUACAGUAUCAGUAACUGAUGUAAAAGAAGCACCCACACAGUCAUAGAAAACCCACGGACAAAGCAGGGCGAUGAGGAAAACCAUCUAAAAGACCACCACACUGAGAUAAAGGCCCAGGCAGAGGACAGAGCUAGGAGAGGAAGCGGGAGAGUGGCGCAGCCUAAGGACUGCAAGCAUGGUGAGCCGGCCAAUCAGCGGUGGCGCUGUGGCGGCACAGGAGAGAAGCUAAACACCUUACUGACUGACUGCGAUCUUCUUCAGUGAAUUCCUGUGCUCCUUUAACUGUCUUGUUUCUACAACCUGUGCCCAUCUUCCUACCAG
rnacentral:lncRNA from 1 species